CGCACAUUGCGCCCAUUAGUAUUCUAGUGGGCAUGCCUGUUCGAGCGUCAUUAAGUCCACUUAAGCCCUGCUUAGUGUUGGGAAUCUACUCUGGCGUCGGCUAUUCUGUAGCUACCCUGUAGUUCCUUAAAGUUAGCGGCGGAGUUGCAGUGUCCUCUGAGCUUAGUAGUAACAUUCUAGCUUUCGAGAAGCCGUAGCGCUUGCCGUAAAACACCCUUCUUCUGAAUGGUUGACCUCGGAUCAGGUAGGAAUACCCGCUGAACUUAA
rnacentral:misc_RNA from 1 species